GGGGAUGUAGCUCAGUGGUAGAGCGCGUGCUUCGCAUGUACGAGGCCCUGGGUUCAAAUCCCAGUAUCUCCA